rnacentral:lncRNA from 1 species
GUUUCCGUCGGACUAAGUUUCGCCGACCAUCCUUCUCCAAAUGUUAUCCCUUUUCACGAAGUCGAUGCAGCCAGUAAUACGACAGCUUUUGAAUUGCUACAACUUGCCGCAAAACUCAACCCUUGUUUCAACUACAGAUACAAACAGUAUAGCUUUGGCCGUUACAUAACAACGAUAUGUUGCGUGGAACAAAAUACGACGUCUGGUUUUUAUUGGUUUGUUUAUAUUAAUGGCAAACGUUCAUCAGUUGGAGUCGAUUUACUCAAGCCAAAAGAUGGAGAAACAUUGACAUUUCAAUACGAACAGUGGAAGCUACAAAAUAACAAUUAUACAACAUUUAGUGCAACGUUCAGUACUAUGAAUGCACCAGUAACAACACCCCUGAGUACUCCAACAGGAAAAUCGGCGAAAACGUUUUCACUCUGGAUCAAUCUAUACCUCUUGUCAGCAGUUGCAAUAUUAUCUUUGCAAUUAUAAACAACUACCCGAUCAUUCGUUUUUUCUUUAUGUAUUGCUUAACCAUAUUUUUGUUACUAGUAGCAUACUUCUUCUGCAAAAUUAUAGAAAUUAUCUGCCAUAUUAACACACACAGUACAGCAAAAAGGCACAAAAAAUAUGACUCGAAAACGUGACAAAAUUAUGCAACCGCA